CCCCAAAUUUCUCGGGACGCGGCGGCGGCUGGGUUGGACAAUGAAUGCUCCCAGUCCAAGACGGGAGCUCUGUUCGUUGUGGCUUGCACAGAAUUUCUCGCCGCGUCCUCAUAUUUGCCGAUGGCUUCCUUCGCUGCUAGGGCCAUUUUCCGAUCCUCCUCCGGCAAGGCUACGGCUCUUCUGAGUGCCGGAGCCCGAGCGGGCUCGGCUCGUUCAACAUUUCGCAUUUCUUCCGAACGAUCUUUCUCUCAGUGUGCUGUAUGUAAGGAUUCAAGUUCCGCUCCAUUCUGCUACUUCUUCGGCAUUGAUGACUCCGAUGAUGCAUUCUGUCUCUCGCCAUAGUUAUGGUUGGCUUUCGGAAGAGGUUGUGGGCUUGAUACCUAAAAUUGUAGACACGAAAUUGGAUGGAUAGAAAGGAGGGAUAAAAGAUUAGAGGACAUUCUCACACUAGAAUCAGAGCGCUCCAUCCACGGCCUCUUCCCUUCUGAACGUCAGUUGCCGAAUUCAAACUCUGGAUAAUUACCAAGCAAUCGGAGGAAGAGAGAGCAGAAUCGAAAGGAGUUUCUCGCCUGAUCUCGGUGAUGAAAAGUAGAGAAGAGAAGAGAACGGCGAACUCUAAUGUCGUUGAGAUUGGUUCCGGUAACAGAGUGGGGAGGAACAAAGCAGUUACUCUUGAUGAAGUGAUUGCUUGGGCAAAAGAAGACCAGUUGGUCCUGUCAUUGAGGCCGAAAUCAGACGCUCGAUCAUUACCAGGCUAUCGGAGGAAGAGAGAGCAGAAUCGAAAGAAGUUUCUCGCCUCGUCCCGGUGAUGAAAAAUAGAGAAGAGAAGAGAACGACGAUUGAGAUUGGUUCCGAUAACAGAGUGGGGAAGAACAAAGCAG